GACGUAGGGCGCGAGCGUUGUCCGGAUUUAUUGGGCGUAAAGAGCUCGUAGGCGGCUUGUCGCGUCGACUGUGAAAUCCCGCGGCUCAACUGCGGGUCUGCAGUCGAUACGGGCAGGCUAGAGUUCGGUAGGGGAGACUGGAAUUCCUGGUGUAGCGGUGAAAUGCGCAGAUAUCAGGAGGAACACCAGUGGCGAAGGCGGCUCACUGGUCCGGUACUGACGCUGAGGUGCGAAAGCGUGGGGAGCAAACAGG
rnacentral:rRNA from 1 species